AAGUAAGGUUGAAACUCAACACACAGUGUGUUGGGUGGCAUUGUUCUCUGGCUCCAAGCAGAUGAGAGUUUCGAUUUCAUCAUUUUGUAACACUGACAAACUGUGAUGCUGGGGUUGGCAGAGUCAGCAGACAGAAUAGGUCUUCCUAACCCUGUGUGUCGAGGCACUGGGACUUUUGUGCACUGUGGCACAAGCGCAGGUUGAAGCUAAAGAACUCUCUCGUGUGAGGCAGUCUAAGGCGUUUGCAUGAAAAAAAAAAAGUCUUUAAAGAGCAAAAGAUCUUUUUCCACUGCACAUCCCACCUCUGCCCCAAGGCAGAGGACAAUGGCGGCUUCCUUCACGGAAGUUAAUGCGAGAGAAUUCUGAGAUUUAACAGAAAAACUUCUCUGUACACUCUGCAGACCUUCACCAGUCUGAUCUAAAAUGAAACCCACAGGAACACUUUUGCCCGGAUUCUUCACUGCUAUUCCAGUGGUUGUAUUGUCUUCAGAGUGCAAGCAAAGAGGAGGGAGGGAGGGAGCCUUUCUAGGAGGUAAUGGUGGAAGGUCCCCCCUCCCCCCCAGGUCCCUCCAUUUUGUCCUACUUCCAGUCAGCACCAUUAGCUUGACAUGGAGGUUUCUCUUGUUCUUAAAACAAUAACAGCAGCAGCAGCAGCAGCAAAAAACCCAACCUCUUUUAGUGGCUUGCUCGUUUGUGCACAAGAUGGGCACCAGGACAUAGGGCUGGAAAACAGCAUAUUUCAUCUGGCAUGGAAACGCAGUGUCUCCCUCUCAGAUAGGUUCCGAUUAUCUCCCUUCUUGGCCUUUGGCUGGGUUUCUGUCCGUAUCUUUUUUGCCUGUGUUCUUUAAGCCAUGACCACCUGCUGUAUGUACAACGUGUGCCUGUUCCAUUUGUUCACUAUCUUCCCUUAUAGAACGUAAAGACCAGCUAUUACAUCGUGUUUACUCAAUAUCAUUCCCCCCCAGUUUUUUUUUAAAAAAAGAAACAACAACCACCC
rnacentral:lncRNA from 1 species